GGCGGGACUACACAUGCAGUCGAGCGAGAACUUCGGUUCUAGCGGCGGACGGGUUAGUAACGCGUGGGAACGUGCCCUUCACUACGGAAUAGUCCCGGGAAACUGGGUUUAAUACCGUAUACGCCCUUCGGGGGAAAGAAUUUCGGUGAAGGAUCGGCCCGCGUUAGAUUAGAUAGUUGGUGGGGUAACGGCCUACCAAGUCUACGAUCUAUAGCUGGUUUUAGAGGAUGAUCAGCAACACUGGGACUGAGACACGGCCCAGACUCCUACGGGAGGCAGCAGUGGGGAAUCUUAGACAAUGGGCGCAAGCCUGAUCUAGCCAUGCCGCGUGAGUGAUGAAGGCCUUAGGGUCGUAAAGCUCUUUCGCCAGGGAUGAUAAUGACAGUACCUGGUAAAGAAACCCCGGCUAACUCCGUGCCAGCAGCCGCGGUAAUACGGAGGGGGUUAGCGUUGUUCGGAAUUACUGGGCGUAAAGCGCGCGUAGGCGGAUUGGAAAGUUGGGGGUGAAAUCCCAGGGCUCAACCCUGGAACUGCCUCCAAAACUAUCAGUCUAGAGUUCGAGAGAGGUGAGUGGAACUCCGAGUGUAGAGGUGAAAUUCGUAGAUAUUCGGAAGAACACCAGUGGCGAAGGCGGCUCACUGGCUCGAUACUGACGCUGAGGUGCGAAAGUGUGGGGAGCAAACAGGAUUAGAUACCCUGGUAGUCCACAC
rnacentral:rRNA from 1 species